UUGAACGCUGGCGGCAUGCUUUACACAUGCAAGUCGAACGACAGCGCGGGCUUCGGCCUGGCGGCGAGUGGCGAACGGGUGAGUAAUGCAUCGGAACGUGCCCAGUAGUGGGGGAUAGCCCGGCGAAAGCCGGAUUAAUACCGCAUACGACCUGAGGGUGAAAGCAGGGGACCGAAAGGCCUCGCGCUAUUGGAGCGGCCGAUGUCGGAUUAGCUAGUUGGUGGGGUAAAGGCUUACCAAGGCGACGAUCCGUAGCUGGUCUGAGAGGACGACCAGCCACACUGGGACUGAGACACGGCCCAGACUCCUACGGGAGGCAGCAGUGGGGAAUUUUGGACAAUGGGGGCAACCCUGAUCCAGCCAUGCCGCGUGCGGGAAGAAGGCCUUCGGGUUGUAAACCGCUUUUGUUCGGGAAGAAAUCCUCUGGGCUAAUACCCCGGGGGGAUGACGGUACCGGAAGAAUAAGCACCGGCUAACUACGUG
rnacentral:rRNA from 1 species